UCCGUCUUAACUCCGUUACUUGAGUUGGCUAAAGACUUAAUUACCCUCCAUAUAUAUAUUGAAUUACCUGGCUAAAGACUUAAUUCUCCGGUGACGCUGCCCGAAACUUUCGAUUCUCCGAUCGGAGCAUUACAGCCUCAGAAUUACUGUUUCCAAAUAAACCCACGUCAAAUUUUGUUGUAAAAGAGAACCCUUUUGGGGAAUUUGCAAUUCCAAUUACCUGGUGAGACGAUUUGAUGGAUAAAGAAAAGGGGCGUCUUUAUCGGAAAAAGUGAGGAACCUGGAAGAGAUUUUUCGGCAAAUUCUGCCGUCGCCGGCACCGCCGUAAGGAGGGACUUCUAGGUCUCUUUCUCUCACUCUCACACAUCUGAGUCGCUUUUUGUUAUCCCACUUUAAGAACCAAUCUGCUUCUUGAUAAUUUUAGGACAUGAAUUGUACUCGUCAUCUUGACCAAAUUCUUGUCGCCUCUUUGAUGUUGGUCUUUUGGAUGAGAAUUGUGGAGUGACUGCAAAGUAGAAAACUACUGAAAAGGUUUGUAAAAUCCCUGGUAUCAAGUAUAAGGUCAUGCUUGGCCUUAACACUAAUAAGAACUAGUUUCCUAUUGAUGUUGUUAGAGAAGAUGGUUAAGGAAUCUGGCUUUGGGAAUUAUAUUUGCCUUCUUAUAAGUACAAUAUUUUGCUAACUUGAUGAUUCUAUAAAAGUACUAGCUUAUUCUUUUUGUUGUGUGCUUAAUGCUCUUCUGUAAGGACACCUCUUUCUCUUUGCGAUGAAACUGUCCCUUAUAAUGUCUUCUAUUAGUUUUCUGAAUGCUUGUGACUGCCCGACUUGAUGAUUUUGACAUUGGUGUUUGGAUCUCAUGGAUCAUGUGUGAUGCUGAAGCCAAAUGUUGAUGAUGUAAUUAGCUAAACAGUGAGAACAUGCUACUUAUUUUCUGAUGAUGCAUAAAGUUGAGACAUGUAGUAUUAAUUAUAGCUAAUGUAGUUAGUUCCUAUUGGAUUAUGUGGUUUGAUAGCAUCUGGUAUGGUCUUUUAACACUUGAGGAACUUUUUAUGAUUUUCAUGAUUGGUACUAGAAUAUGGACUUGUUAAUUUUACCUGGCUCUUAAGAUUUGCAUCAGUUCUCCGUAUGUAAGGUUCUAUUAUGUUUGGACACAUGAGCUUGGGUCGGUCGAUUUUGAAAAUCAAUAACUUGAAGAGGGAAAAAGUAGGAGCUUCUGAUUUUGAUUCUUAUCUGCUUUUUCCAUUUCUGCAAAUUAGAUACAACAAAUUAAAAAGAUGAAAUCUUCAUCCAUAUGCUUCUAAUGUAAAUUAUGUCACUUUCACCAACUAAUGUACAACAAUUAUUAAAGAUGUAGAAGGACACCAAAUCAUUCAAUUAAGUUGAAGAGAGAGAACAGAUUCACAAUGUAAACACCACAAAUCACUAAACCAUUGUUGGAUUCUGGUGCCAAAAAGAUGAAGAAAACUAUCAAUACAAAAGAUGAAGAAAACUAUCAAAUUUAGAUCAAUUGACAAGGACAAAUAAACUUUUGUAUAAAUUCCAAAAAACAACAGAAAAAGAAAAACAUAUAACAGAAACUAAAACAGAAAAUCAACAAAACUGUCCAAAAGAGUAGAAUAUCACCCAACUUUGAUAUAUCAUAUAUAUAGUUGGAAGAGAAGCAUCACAUUAUUGUCUUAAUCAAAUAGAUGGUCCAGACAAACAUAGCAUUUAAUUUGAAAUUACCGUGAUAACAUAGAGGGAAAAUACUAUGAAGCAAUAAGAAUGACAAUGAACCAGAUUUUAUGGCUGUAAAACAAUAUGAACUAUCGAUGAUCCAUCAUUAAAAUUAUCAAUGAAGAAGAUAUUUGUCAUAUUACAAACAACUUCCUCUUGUGAAGUGCGGUAAAAGCCAAUGCAACAUAAGCUCAUCUCUUCCAAAUUUCAAGGAAAUUUCAAGUUUUAGAGUAAAAAAGUACAGCUUUCAGCCAUCUAGUUUCUUGAAAACACCACCAAAGCGCAUAAGCUGCAACAUGGAUGCCUUCAAUCUCAAUUUGAUGAUAGGCACUAUCUUUUUCAGAUCAAGAUUAUCAAAACAACAACACCAACCACAAAAUCAAGAAAAACAACCAAAUAAAGAAAAAACAAGAGCAAGAAUCUCAUCAAAAUGACCCACAAUAGCCCAAAUUAGCUAGAUCAAGUUCUAUUCUUGAGCAUCUCAAAUUUAUCACUCUCAAACUGAACCAAAAACAGAGUAAAUUAUAAAUUUAAGAAAGAAGACCCCUACAUAUCCAAAAGAAAUAUUAAAACUUAAGAGAAUCUAAAGGGGGAGAUAUAACAAAUUUUAAUCUGAUAAAAACUCAAUAGGUUAAUAACGGUUAAUAAAGCAGAUCAAGAACACCCACAUUGUCAAACAAAAAAAUUAGCAAAAACCAAGCCACAAAUCAAAUUCAAAUAAUUUAUGAUCAAAAGAAAAUCACAAAUAGAGAAAUAAAUUAAAAUGAUAGGGGAAAAACAAUUAUUGGAUUGUUCAUCUCCACUGCCCGUUCUGCUUUGGAGAACCUCUUGAAGAUUCGAUACUAGACCCGGAGGCAAGAAGUUAUUCUUUACAUCAGAGCUACUCAUUCUGUUCGUAUAGGGGAGAGAGAUGAAUCAAAACCCUAGAGAGAGAAGGAAAAGAUGCUAAUAAUGUGCAACUGAAAAAGUAAGUGAGAUUGCUGGGAGACCCAAUUCAAAACCCACUACGGAGACCCAAUUUAUUUUUGGCCAUUUUCAUGAAGAAAGCCCCACAAAAUCUCAGACCCAUUUCGUUGUUGAACAAAUUCAUGAAGAAAAAGCCUCCUAAUCACAAACCCAAUUCAAUUUUGAGCAAACCCAUGAAGCAAAAAUCACAAAUACACAGACCCCUGAAGCUAAUGAAGAAAUUAGUGAAGAAGAUGAAGAGCCACAAAGCCUAGAUGAAGCUAAUGAAGAAAUUAGUGAAGGAGAAGAAGAUGAAGAGGCACGUAACCGAGGAUGAUGAGGGUGUUGAUGCAAAAGCUGAUGAUUUCAUCAACAAAUUCAAGAACCAGUUGAAG
rnacentral:lncRNA from 1 species